UUUCAAAACCUGUCCUUAAGAUUUUGUUUAAGGUUUGUCCUGCUCAAAGAUUUUUUUAAAUAGCCCCGGUUUUUUAACUGUGCAAAGGUAGCAUAAUAAUUUGUUUUUUAAAUGAGGUUUGGUUUGAAAGGUUUGGCGAGAAAUUUUCUUUUUUUGAAUAAUUUUUUUGAAUUUUAAGUUUAAGUUAAAAUUUUUAAAAUUUUAAAGGGGGCGAUAAGGCCCUAUAGAUUUUAAUAAAGAUUUUUUUUUUUUUUUUUGUUGUUUUUUAUUAUAAUUUUGAAUCUUUUUUUUGUUGGGGUGAUUACCAAAAAUUUAAACUUUGGUUUAUUUUUACAUAAUAUUUAUGGUUUUUUUGAUCCUUUUUUUUGAUUAUAAGAUGAAGAUACCUUAGGGAUAACAGCGUAAUUUGAUUGGAGAGUUCUUAUCGAUAAUUAAGUUUGCGACCUCGAUGUUGGAUUAAAUUUUGUUUGUGGGGUAGGUUUACAAAACUAGGUCUGU
rnacentral:rRNA from 1 species